rnacentral:rRNA from 1 species
AUGAUGGCCAAGGUGAAUAUGAGAGAUGACACAGCAUGGGUAGUCGCCAUUGACAUGAAGCAUGCGGCUUUGGAGGCACUUGUCCCAAUUUCCACCGAAAGGCACUACACCGUUACGAUGUGCGCUCCGUGUGCCUUCCCCAAGUACCUCAACAACUUCACAGCAGGGGCAGACAUGGCCGAUCAAGUGGGCAAGCACUUUAAGAGGCACAGGAAUCGAGGCCAUAAAAUGGAAAUAUAUGAUGAGCCAGAGCAAGAGAGAUGGAAGCUCGGUCAUCUUCAAGAGGUGGUCUCAAGGAAUCGCCGUUCUGUGUGUUUCGCUUUCUGGGUGAUGGCAUUGAUUGUGAUGCUGGUGACUAGGUAG